rnacentral:lncRNA from 9 species
UGUUGUGGUUUUUGGUUUUUGGUUGGUUGGUGUGAGGGGGAAGAGGGUGGAGGAUGAGGACCCCUUAGCAAAUGGGAGCGGAAGGAUGUCAGGAAAGGAGCCCAGAGGGGUUAGUGUGGGAAUGGGCCAGGGCAGCUGGGAGGGGCUUGUGGGUCGUGCCUGAACAGAGGGGAAGGGAGAGCUGAAGGGAGUGCUGAGGGCCAGGGCGAGCAGGGGGGGACUGAGGUAAGGCUGUCAGUGGAGUUCCAGCAGACAGGUUCAAGUGAGGUGGUUUUUGUUUUGGUUUUUGGCUUGCUGUGUGUGUUUGUUCGUUUGAUUGUUUGUUUGAGAAGGGGGUAGAGGGGUGGAUAGGUUGGAUGCCUUUGAACUGAUGGGGAAAGUUUCCAGGAAGGGGGGGGGUGUGGGUGGGGGCAGAGAGGGGCGAGGGGGGCGGGGACCCGGUUGUGCAGAGCGCCUGCGUGGGGGUUGCGUGCGUGCCGUGGCGUGCGUGGGGGUUGCGUGCGUGCCGGGGAAGGGAGCCCCGGGAGCGACUGCUGAGGGACACCGCGGCGAGCGAGCAUGGGUGGAGGAGCUGAGGGUGUGAGCAGGGCUGCAGCGGGCAGGUCCAAGGCAGGGAGAGUCUCCAUAACAGCUCUGCACGAUGGGAGGACCCCAAGACAGCAGCCCAAGGAGGACAGGCAUUCUCGUGAGACAGCCGGAAUCCAGGUCUUCAGCUCCUCUGUGGUGCCGCAGGGGCUCCUGGGAGUCCGCCAUCUUGUGGACAGUGAACGGCCAGCCGUCUGCUCUCUACUGGAUCUGAAGACAUCCCUGGGAGCAGAGCGGAUGUUGGUAGCAGAUUCCAGUAUGGGAAGCUCAGAGAAGGUAAGCAGGGUGUCGGGGAGCCCCUGCCUGGGGUCCUCUGCAGCCGCCGUGUCGCUGGGGACUCGGUGUCCGUCCCUUGGUGUGGUGCUUGGAGCCGAGGGUGGUGGUGGACACCUGUGGUGGGGAGGACGGUCAUGCCCAGGUGGGGCCAGGGGCCAAGUGGCUGCUGGGGUCACACUCACACAACUCACAGUCACUUCUAAUUUUUCAGUUUCCAGAUGGCAGAUUAUGGGAUUUUUUUCCGCCUUCAAAAUUGUGAGUUGA